rnacentral:rRNA from 1 species
UAAUAAGCGGAGGAAAAGAAACUAACAAGGAUUCCUUUAGUAGCUGCGAGCGAACAGGGAUAAGCUCAGCAUAAAAUCUUGUAACUUGCCAGUUAUCAAGAGAUGUUAUGUUUAGGAGGUUUCGUUUAUCCUACAAUAUACACUUGGUCCAAGUCCACCUUGAAUGGGGCAUUACCCAUAGAGGGUGCCAGUCCCGUAGUGACAAGUGUUGAUAAAAUGAUUGUAGGUGAAACUUUCCUUAGAGUCGGGUUGCUUGUAAAUGCAGCUCCAAGUGGGUGGUAAACUCCAUCUAAAGCUAAAUAUAACCACGAGACCGAUAGCGAACAAGUACCAUGAGGGAAAGUUGAAAAGAACUUUGAAGAGAGAGUUCAAGAGUACGUGAAACCGUUUAGGGGUAAACGGGAGAAAUCUGAAAAUCUGAAGGAAGUGAUUCACGUAAAAUCUACAUUGUAUAUUAUGUGUUUGAUCGAUGAUUAUUUAAACACCUUGCAUGCAAUUCAUUUGUAUGUUGAGGAUUGCGUUUAAUAUCACGAUUCUCAUAUAAUUUCAAAUAUAAUGUGGUUUACCGCAUUUCAACCUUCCUUUUUUUUUUUUUUUYUAAAAGAAAAGAAAAAAACGUCGCGACCCAUUGGAUUGCAGUGUAAGAUUUUUAUAGGGAGUUGUCAAGAAGCGAUAUAUAUUUUCAAUGUAUAUAUUGUUGUUCUUUGUCGCCCUAUAUAAAAUAUGGUCUGACUGAUUAUUCGAUGGUAGCAAAAAUGAAAAAGAUGUACCCACACAAUGAUGCGUUUGACUAUUUUUUCUUUUUUGUGAUCAAUGUGAUUUCUUUUUAGUUUCGGAUCAAAUGGCCCGUCUAAUUGUAAACAUUGUGAACAGAAAUAGUCUCAAACUGUGGUAAUCUUUGUCAGCGGCGAAUUCGUUUCGGAUUUUCACCCGACCCGUCUUGAAACACGGACCAAGGAGUCUAACAUGUGCGCAAGUCAUUGGGUUUGACAAAACCUAAAGGCAUAAUGAAAGUAAAGAAUUGUUUUUGGACAAUUUGUGGGAUGAUGGAUUAUUAUUUGAUAUUAAUGAAUAAUCUCGCAAUCUCGGGGCGUCUCAUUCUGACAGUGUCGAGAAGAGGCGCACCUUGAGCGUACACGUUGGGACCCGAAAGAUGGUGAACUAUGCCUGGCGAGGACAAAGUCAGGGGAAACCCUGAUGGAGGUCCGUAGCGAUUCUGACGUGCAAAUCGAUCGUCGGAGCUGGGUAUAGGGGCGAAAGACCAAUCGAAUCAUCUAGUAGCUGGUUCCCUCCGAAGUUUCCCUCAGGAUAGCUGGCACUCGUACUACUAUAAUAAUAAUAAUAAUUUGUCGGGCCACUUCUUUUUUUUUCUUUUUAAAAAGGGAAAAAAAGGGUAAGCUCGUCGGGGUAACCCAACAAGACCCGGAGACGUCGUCGGGAGAUGUAGGCAGAGUUUUCUGUUCUGUAUGAGCGUUCAAGUUCCCUGGAAUUCUCUAGCAGUGAGAUAGGGUUUGGAACGCGUAGAGCACCGCAUUUGCUGCGGUGUCUACAUCGUCCCCUCGGCCCUUGAAAAUCCGGGAGAGGGUCACGUGGAGGUCUCACGCCGGAUCGUACCGAUAACCGCAGCUG